GCUCCUGUCGUUCAAUGGAUAGGAUACCUCCCUCCGAAGGAGGUGAUGCUGGUUCGAUUCCAGCUAGGAGCA
rnacentral:tRNA from 1 species